rnacentral:lncRNA from 1 species
UCAAAUUGUAUAUCAAAUUGUUUACUAUCAAAAGAUUUGCUGAUGUGUUUUCCAUAUUUUUAAGCAUAUUAGUUCUCGAAAUAUACAUGACGUGUGCUCUGGUACAUUUCUUCAGCUGACAGCCACAAAAUCUAACUGAAGCUCCUCUAAUCUUACUUCACCCUGCUGUCUGUAGGUCAGAAUGCUAUUGUGGGUACAAUCGACCGCCUCAAAUCGCUAAACGGCCCGAAUCCGAAUGCUCGAAACCCUGCAGUGGGGAUGCUAAGGAACAAUGUGGUGGCAAUUACAGAAUGAAUGUUUACACUACAGCUGUGUCAGGACUGGGAGCUCUGCCUAGCGGCUUUUACCAGGGGUGCUUCAAGGAAAACGCGGGAUUAUCAACAAUAUUUAAUUUAUCGGAGAGACUUCUGCCCGGGUUUCGCCAAGACUUCAACGGGUUGACGCCGAAAAUGUGUUUCGAGUUUUGUUUUAAAAAGGGGUUCAAGUUAUCGGGACUUCAGUGGGGGUGAGGUUCUUUCAUAUUAUCAAUAGAUUAACAUUGUGUUUUAAAAUGAAUCUCAUCCACCUCGAUACUUUGAAAUGAGCAAUAGAAGAGAUAUACAUCGCCGCAAUGGACCACAACUAGACAAGGUACAAAUUUAAGCACUCUGAUACAUGUUUUUUAACCAGAAUUUCAUGUGAUUCACAAUUUCACGAUGCUUGCAUCAAAAAUUACUGAAAUCAACUCCUAUACGUAAUAACUCCUCCGUAACUAAGACAAUAACGUUUUACUUUUACAUUGGUUACAGGAAAUUUGAAUUGCCCGGUCACAAGAAACUCAAAACUCUACGUGAGUCAAAUCGCGCCGCCUUAUAAUAGUUUUGACAGGCUUCUCAUUUGAGCAUCGUUCUUUCACCAACCUUCAUCGUUCAAAGUGUAAACAAUUUACUAUAGCUGAGCCGAAGCGUCAAGAUUGAGUUCGAUGGAUUUUCAUCGUAGAGAUUGUCAUGGUAAAGUUUAGUGUACGAUAUGGCUCACAUGGACUAUUGUGUUUUCAUGAGCAGGAGGUUUGAAUUCACGCGUCAAGAAACAUUUAAUAGCUUGGUUAGGAGUUUUCAGUAAAAUCAGUAAUUUUUGUUGCGCGAAUAUUGUUUUACGUGAAAAUUUGGGUAAGAAACAUGUAUCAAAAUGCUUAAUUUUGUGCCUCGUCUAGUGGUCCUGGUCCACUGGUCCAUUGGAGAUACGCAACCAAGUAGCACAGUACAAUGAACAUAUUGAAAUAAAAUUGCGAAUUUUUUUUUUUUUAAUUGAUGAUGAGGGGAAAAAUUCGCUAUACUUCCCCCAUCAUGAGGGUCGUCAAAACGCCCCUAUCCCCCGGGACUGAUCUGCCCAAGCCAUCAUUGUACCCGGAGUCAAGGGGGCGUAGGAGGAGAGCCUAGGCCCAGCUUGCGCCAAACCUUGCGACAACCCCACGGCAGGGCUCUGGAGCCGCGCGAGGACUGGAGGGCAGGGAGGGCAGACCAGCUACGUCUCGCUUAACCCUCGAGGCACCUGAUCUUAUGCGGCCCAGAAGGGGGCAGCCUAUACAUGACUCAGCUCCGCGGGUGCGUCGAACCCGAUAUCCCCAAUUAGAUAGCCUGCGGUAAAAUAAUUGCGAUUUAGUGCAGUAAAAUAGCAAUACUUUUACAUAAUUUGGUCCAUUAAUGCGGAUUUUAAAUAAUAAACAAUUAAGUGUCGUGUGUUAGAUGGAUAGGCAAUAUGCUGUGCCACGAAAAAUUGCAACCUGUUUCAAUUUUUGCAGUGUCCCUUCAAUCGAUAGAUACGCAACAUACACUACACAACAAUGCUGUAGCAAUGUAAUCUGUGCUUCUUGGGCAUUUUCCGACACCUAAAAAAAAACUCCGGCUGUGGGCGCUGUACCACCGUCCAUGUCAUGGGCUCAGAAGCCGAAAGUUCCGGAUGUAGCACCCGGGGCAGUUGAAACCACGAGCGCCACGGCUCUGGCAGCCAGAGCUGUCGGCCCGCUGGGCCCGGAACGGAAGGUGUGUCUAUGCAGUCCGUAACUUUCUUUCAGUGGACCCUACGGUCAUCAAUAUACGUAUUUUAUGCUGGCUAUACACUUGUACAGGCACCAUUGAUAACCUAUCGAUAUGAUUUUCACUAAGGGAUGAAAUCCUUCAAAAAUUGUUUCAUUCAUUUUUACACGGAGAAAGAAACUUCGUACAUGGGACCCGAAGUUGAGGUCAUAUGGAUCUCUGAAGUUUUUGGAUCUCGCAUCCGAAAACUUAAGAGAUCCAUAUGACCUCAACUUCGGAACCCAUGCACGAAGUUUUUUUCUCCGUGUAAUUUAGCCAUCUCUAGGUAUUCGUACUUUCUCCAAUUUAGCCAUCUCUAGGUACUCGUACUUUCUCCCUCAGAAAACGUGACUUUUUCAUGAUGAAAUGACUAACUUCAUGAUUGUUUGAUCUGCGUCCAAGGAAAGAAUGUUACUGUUCAA